AUACGUAGGUGACAAGCGUUAUCCGGAUUUACUGGGCGUAAAGGGCGUGUAGGCGGUCUUGCAAGUCAGAAGUGAAAUUCCUGAGCUCAACUCGGGCGCUGCUUCUGAAACUGCAGGACUUGAGUGCUGGAGGGGAUAGCGGAAUUCCUAGUGGAGCGGUAAAAUGCGCAGAUAUUAGGAAGAACACCGGUGGCGAAGGCGGCUAUCUGGACUGUAACUGACGCUGAGGCGUGAAAGCGUGGGGAGCAAACAGGAUUAGAUACCCUGGUAGUCCACGCCGUAAACAAUGAAUACUAGGUGUAGGGGGUAUCGACUCCCUCUGUGCCGCAGUUAACACAAUAAGUAUUCCGCCUGGGGAGUACGGCCGCAAGGUUGAAACUCAAAUGAAUUGACGGGG
rnacentral:rRNA from 1 species